rnacentral:tRNA from 1 species
UUGCGUGUAGCUUAAAAUAAAGAGCAUUUUAUUUACGGUAAAAGGGUUUAACAAAUGCAAU